rnacentral:rRNA from 1 species
AUUGAACGCUGGCGGCAGGCCUAACACAUGCAAGUCGAGCGGAUGAAGGGAGCUUGCUCCUGGAUUCAGCGGCUGACGGGUGAGUAAUGCCUAGGAAUCUGCCUGGUAGUGGGGGAUAACGUCCGGAAACGGGCGCUAAUACCGCAUACGUCCUGAGGGAGAAAGUGGGGGAUCUUCGGACCUCACGCUAUCAUAUGAGCCUAGGUCGGAUUAGCUAGUUGGUGGGGUAAAGGCCUACCAAGGCGACGAUCCGUAACUGGUCUGAGAGGAUGAUCAGUCAGCUGGGAAGAGAGAAAGGGCAGAGACACUGAGAGGAGGAAGCAGUGGAGAAUAUUGGACGAGGGGGGAAAGGCGGAUCUAAGAAAACGGGGGGUGGGAAGAAGGACUCAGGAUGGGAAAGCAAUUUAAGUUGGGAGGAAGGGAAGUAAGUUAAUAGCGGGAUGUAUUGACGUUACCAAGAAAAGAAGCACCGGCUAACUUCGUG